rnacentral:rRNA from 1 species
UCUUUGGGACUGAGAUACGGCCCAGACUCCUACGGGAGGCAGCAGUGGGAAUAUUGCACAAUGGGCGGAAGCCUGAUGCAGCAACGCCGCGUGCGGGAUGACGGCCUUCGGGUUGUAAACCGCUUUCGCCUGUGACGAAGCGUGAGUGACGGUAAUGGGUAAAGAAGCACCGGCUAACUACGUGCCAGCAGCCGCGGUGAUACGUAGGGUGCGAGCGUUGUCCGGAUUUAUUGGGCGUAAAGGGCUCGUAGGUGGUUGAUCGCGUCGGAAGUGUAAUCUUGGGGCUUAACCCUGAGCGUGCUUUCGAUACGGGUUGACUUGAGGAAGGUAGGGGAGAAUGGAAUUCCUGGUGGAGCGGUGGAAUGCGCAGAUAUCAGGAGGAACACCAGUGGCGAAGGCGGUUCUCUGGGCCUUUCCUGACGCUGAGGAGCGAAAGCGUGGGGAGCGAACAGGCUUAGAUACCCUGGUAGUCCACGCUGUAAACGGUGGGUACUAGGUGUGGGGUCCAUUCCACGGGUUCCGUGCCGUAGCUAACGCUUUAAGUACCCCGCCUGGGGAGUACGGCCGCAAGGCUAAAACUCAAAGGAAUUGACGGGGCCCCGCACAAGCGGCGGAGCAUGCGGAUUAAUUCGAUGCAACGCGUAGAACCUUACCUGGGUUUGACAUGGAUCGGGAGUGCUCAGAGAUGGGUGUGCCUCUUUUGGGGUCGGUUCACAGGUGGUGCAUGGCUGUCGUCAGCUCGUGUCGUGAGAUGUUGGGUUAAGUCCCGCAACGAGCGCAACCCUUGUUCACUGUUGCCAGCACGUUAUGGUGGGGACUCAGUGGAGACCGCCGGGGUCAACUCGGAGGAAGGUGGGGAUGACGUCAAGUCAUCAUGCCCCUUAUGUCCAGGGCUUCACGCAUGCUACAAUGGCUGGUACAGAGAGUGGCGAGCCUGUGAGGGUGAGCGAAUCUCGGAAAGCCGGUCUCAGUUCGGAUUGGGGUCUGCAACUCGACCUCAUGAAGUCGGAGUCGCUAGUAAUCGCAGAUCAGCAACGCUGCGGUGAAUACGUUCCCGGGGCUUGUACACACCGCCCGUCAAGUCAUGAAAGUUGGUAACACCCGAAGCCGGUGGCCUAACCGUUGUGGGGGAGCCGUCGAAGGUGGGACUGGUGAUUAGGACUAAGUCGUAACAAGGUAGCCGUACCGGGAGAUCGGAAGA